rnacentral:lncRNA from 1 species
AUAGCAGCUCCUGACCUUGGUCUGACUUCAAGCAUCACCACUCGACCGGUAGACUUCGCAAACAACUGUGCCAUCGCCCUGGUCCUCCCGCUUAGCAAAUGACACAGCCAGCAACACAGUUCCCCAGUGUGGCUGGAGAAACCACUCGGCAGUUAAGAGCACUUACUGCUCUUGCAGAAGAAUGGAUUUGGUUCCCAGCACCCAGUGGGACCUCCUCACACUGCUGGGAGCAGUGGUGCACAAAUACACAUGCAGGCAAACAUACAUACCAAGAAAAGGUUAUCCGUUCCUCAAGCCACAAGGUCCUUUCUCACACUGCCCUCACCACAGCAAUGGUCUGCAUCAGCUAGUUACUACUCUCACUCCAUUACCACCAUCUGCAGUUCAUCCAUGCCCCCAAUUUCAGCCUCCAUACACUAGCUGGCAGAUUCGCCAGAUUCAUUCCUUCCCAGCUAUCAAGACUGCAAAAUUUUAUCAGUCUACUGAAAAAUUCUAACGGGGCAUGGUGGCUCAUGCCUUUAAUCCUGUGCACGGGAGGCAGAGGCAGGUGGACCAAUCUGAGUUUGAGUCCGGCCUGGUCUACAGAGGGGGUGCCAGGGCAGCCAUGGAACCCUGUUUCAAAAAGACAUAAAAAUAAAAAUCUAUCACCUACAGAGUCUAAAA